UAGCAGACGAUAGUUCAAUCAUUUACUGCAGGAUACGUUUAAGCGGAAGUUGUGGGAGUUGUUGAUUCCAGUUUGAAACAUGAAAUUCCGAUUUUGUGGAGACCUUGACUGCCCAGAUUGGGUUCUUGCAGAGAUAAAUAUCCUAUCUAAAUUGACAUCUGUUAAAAUGAGACUCUUGUGUGCUCAAGUUAUCAGUAGCAUCUUGACAGCAAACAUUGAUUAUGAAAAGGUAGCAAAAAUUACUGCUGAUGCAAAAUUUGAUAUUGGUGACAUCAAGGCUAGUAUUGCUGCGCUGUAUUUCAUCAUCAGGAGUGCAGCCAAAUGUGAUGUUGAUAGUGAUACACUUUCCAAUGAGCUUCAACAGCUGGGGCUGCCAAAAGAACAUUCUACACCACUUUGUAAACUCUAUGGUGAUAAUGUAACCAAGUUUCAGGAACAGUUACGCAAACAAAGUUUACGAAUAUCACAUAUGAACUCAAUUCAGUGGCGGGUUGAUUAUGUUAUCAGUUCGAAAUCACUAAAGACAGUAAACAAACCAAAUGUACAGAUAUGUUUAAAAGUCGUAAACCCAGACACAGGAAACUCAAAACCAGUUGUAUUUAAUAUGUCUGCAGAAAAAUUUCGUGUUUUUCUAAAUGAACUAAAACAAGUUGAUACCAUAAUGGACAACCUGAAUUCAUCAUAACAAAUAAUGUACAGCUGUCUCCUUGGCAAAUGAAUUCUCUGCAGAAACAGUUCAGACUUGGUGCUCUUAGGAAAACCCCAAAUAGAUAGCACAAACUACUUUUUCCUUUCCCCAAUCUCAAUUGGCUUAAUUCAGAAAUCAUCUGAUUCACAGUUGUAUCUUUUUCCUGUCCUUAGAUAAGGCAUGAAUGUCACAACUUUUGUAUGGUUAAGGCUGACCAAUGAUUACAGAAUCUAUUUUGCAUAUUUAGUAGAGGUUAUUAACAAGAUGGUACACCAACAUUCUUCAGAGAUACAUGAAUAUAACGACCUCCUUACCAGCAUUAAAAUCAAUUAUUAUUUAUAUUAUCAAACAUUGCACUAUACACAUAUUGAUAUUUAGAAUACUACCUUUUUACAUUCUGAAUGAAGCCAUUUUGUUUAUGCUACUAAAGAUUUAAUAAAGGCAUAAACAUCAUAAACAUAUCACCAGCUGUGCAUGGUUGACCUUAGUCUUCAGUUUAGUUUCAGUUUUAUGCAGAAAGUACUUAACCUACUUUGCUAAUAUAUCUAAAUGUCACAACUUCCUGUCCCUCCAUUCUAAAUAUGAACUCUGACUGACUUUUAAUACUAGAGAGAUGUGGAUUCAUGACAAAUAAAAUACCUUGUGGUGUUUCAAUACAACCUUUUAGAUUCUAAGAUUAAAUCCCCCUGGUGUCAACUUUACCUUCCAUCCUUUGGUGCGGUUAAGGAAAAUAAAGUUUUUGAACAUUGACACUCUGGAAUUUUGGUCCUACAGUUGUUGACUCAUAACAGUUUAAAUGGAAUAUUAAUGGCAUUGUUGGUCUCUGAUGGCUUGCAAAGGUCAAAAGAAACAAAGAAGUAAACAAAACACCAUGUGACCCUUGGAUGCUUUUUGCAGAGUUUAUUCUGUUGCAAGUAUUUGGGUGAAAAUUGACAAUAAGUUCCUCUCAUCAGUCAUAGCAACUCUGAAAAGAGGGUAAUGGAUCCUAUUUUUUCUCUUUUAAUCAUUUAAAAAAAUCCGCCUUAUGAAA
rnacentral:misc_RNA from 1 species